rnacentral:rRNA from 1 species
UGAAUUGACGGGGGCCCGCACAAGCGGUGGAGCAUGUGGUUUAAUUCGAUGCAACGCGAAGAACCUUACCUGGUCUUGACAUCCACGGAAGUUUUCAGAGAUGAGAAUGUGCCUUCGGGAACCGUGAGACAGGUGCUGCAUGGCUGUCGUCAGCUCGUGUUGUGAAAUGUUGGGUUAAGUCCCGCAACGAGCGCAACCCUUAUCCUUUGUUGCCAGCGGUCCGGCCGGGAACUCAAAGGAGACUGCCAGUGAUAAACUGGAGGAAGGUGGGGAUGACGUCAAGUCAUCAUGGCCCUUACGACCAGGGCUACACACGUGCUACAAUGGCGCAUACAAAGAGAAGCGACCUCGCGAGAGCAAGCGGACCUCAUAAAGUGCGUCGUAGUCCGGAUUGGAGUCUGCAACUCGACUCCAUGAAGUCGGAAUCGCUAGUAAUCGUGGAUCA